UGAAUCUGCUCUCUGCUGCUCCAGGAAAACUUGGAGGGUGGAAGCCAAGCAGGGAGGAAACUGAGACACGGGGAAGUGAUGCGUGACUCACAGUCACAUAGUAAGUGCUUGGAUUCGAACUCAAGGAGUCUGACCUCCUCACCCCCACCCCAGGCUGGGCCUGGCACCCAGUGACACAGAAUCUUCUCAUGAGAGACUAAACCCUGGGAGAAGUGGAAAGAGCUGGGGACCACAGAGCAAUUGACGAAGAAUGAGGAGCAAUCCAGAGGCUGUGGAGGUGGCAAAGUGGGCUCCAGCAGCCAGAGAUAGCCCUCGGCAAGGCUGUGGGGAGCCAGGC
rnacentral:lncRNA from 1 species